rnacentral:rRNA from 1 species
GUCUCAAAGAUUAAGCCAUGCAUGUCUAAGUAUAAACCAUUUAUACAGGUGAAACUGCGAAUGGCUCAUUAAAUCAGUUAUAGUUUAUUUGAUAGUACAAUUACUACUUGGAUAACCGUGGUAAUUCUAGAGCUAAUACAUGCUAAAAGUCUCGACUUCUGGAAGGGACGUAUUUAUUAGAUAAAAACCAAUAA